GAUGAACGCUGGCGGCGUGCUUAACACAUGCAAGUCGAACGCUGAAGCUUGGUGCUUGCCUUGGUUGGAUGAGUGGCGGACGGGUGAGUAAUACGUGAGUAACCUGCCCUUGAGUCUGGGAUAGGCCUGGGAAACCGGAUCUAAUACUGGAUACGACUUGUCACCGCAUGGUGGUGUGUGGAAAGGGGUUUACUGGUUUUGUAUGGGCUCACGGCCUAUUAGCUUGUUGGGUGGGUAAUGGCUCACCUAGGCGACGACGGGUAGCCGGACUGAGAGGGGGAUCGGCGACACUGGAACGGAGACGCGGUCAAGAGGCCUACGGGAGGCAGCAGUAGGGAAUGGGAGGCAACGGGCGAAAGUAUGACGCAGCGAGGGCGCGUGUGUGACGAAGGUGUCCGGUGAGUAAAGACGGGUUAUGGGGGAUGAACCUCUGUCAGCGAAGAAGAAGCGAUAGUGACGGUACCUACAGAAGAAGCGCCGGCUAACUACGUG
rnacentral:rRNA from 1 species